rnacentral:rRNA from 1 species
UACGUAGGGUGCAAGCGUUGUCCGGAAUUAUUGGGCGUAAAGAGUUCGUAGGCGGUUUGUCGCGUCCGUUGUGAAAGCUCAGGGCUCAACCCUGAAAUGGCAUUGAAUACUGCUGUGCUGGAGGUUUGGAGGGGGGACUGGAAUUCUUGGUGUAGCAGUGAAAUGCGUAGAUAUCAAGAGGAACACCAGUGGCGAAGGCGAGUCCCUGGACAACACCUGACACUGAGGCACGAAAGCUAGGGGAGCAAACAGG